AUUGAACGCUGGCGGCAUGCCUAAUACAUGCAAGUCGAACGAAGCUUUUUUAACUAGUGCUUGCACCGACUUAAACAACUGAGUGGCGAACGGGUGAGUAACACGUGGGUAACCUGCCCCAAAGCGGGGGAUAACAUUUGGAAACAGAUGCUAAUACCGCAUAACCACAGAAACCACAUGGUUUCUGUGUCAAAGAUGGUUUCGGCUAUCACUUUGGGAUGGACCCGCGGCGUAUUAGCUAGUUGGUAAGGUAAUGGCUUACCAAGGCAAUGAGACGUAGCCGAACUGAGAGGUUGCUCGGCCACAUUGGGACUGAGACACGGCCCAAACUCCUACGGGAGGCAGCAGUAGGGAAUCUUCCACAAUGGACGAAAGUCUGAUGGAGCAACGCCGCGUGAGUGAAGAAGGUUUUCGGAUCGUAAAACUCUGUCGUCAGAGAAGAACGUGUGCGAGAGUAACUGUUCGUGCAGUGACGGUAUCUGGCCAGAAAGCCACGGCUAACUACGUGCCAGCAGCCGCCGUAA
rnacentral:rRNA from 1 species